rnacentral:rRNA from 1 species
UAAACGGCCGCGGUACUCUGACCGUGCAAAGGUAGCAUAAUCAUUUGCCUUAUAAUUGAAGGCUGGAAUGAAUGGUUUGACGAGAAUACACCUGUCUCUUUUCGAUUUUUUAGAAUUUUAUUUUAGGAUGAAAAAGUCCUGAUAACAUUAAAAGACAAGAAGACCCUAUCGAGCUUUAGAUAAAUUAGUAGAGUAAUAUAAAACUAAUAUAAGUAAAAGUGAACUGUAAAUACUUUGGUUGGGGCAACCAAGGAGUAAAUAGAGCCUCCUUUAAAAUAUAAAUCACACUAGUUUUGAUCCAAGAAUUUUGAUCAAAGGAAUUAGUUACCGUAGGGAUAACAGCAUUAUCUUUUUUGAGAGCCCAUAUCGAAAAAAAGGUUUGUGACCUCGAUGUUGGACCAGAAUAUCCUAAAGAUUCUUUAAGG